rnacentral:misc_RNA from 1 species
UCAAACUUGGUCAUUUAGAGGAAGUAAAAGUCGUAACAAGGUCUCCGUUGGUGAACCAGCGGAGGGAUCAUUACUGAGUUGCAAAACUCCCAAACCCAAUGUGAACCUUACCUACACGUUGCUUCGGCGGACCCGCCCCGGCGCUUCGGCGACCGGACCCAGGCGACCGCCGGGGGAAAAACACAAACCCUUUGUAUUACACAGUGAAUCUUCUGAGUAAAAAAAAACAAAUGAAUCAAAACUUUCAACAACGGAUCUCUUGGCUCUGGCAUCGAUGAAGAACGCAGC